rnacentral:lncRNA from 1 species
GCCCAAGCCUUAACCUAAACCCUUACCCUCCAUGGCUCUUCCCAAUUGAAGACCCUAGCUCUCUCCUCCACCAUCUCCAUCUCCAUCGUCCAAACCCUAACACCAACCCAAACCCCAACCCUAACCCUUACCCUAACCAUAACCCUGACCCGAUAGCUCAUGUUAACCCUAAUUAGGGACCUAACCUAAACCCUAAGUCUAACCCAAACCCUAUCGGUAACCCUAGCUCUAACCCA